CAAGUCUACAAUGAGGGUCUAGAAUGUAGAAUCUGGUUGCAUCUUUGGGGACUUCAGGGAAAGGACCCAGGCCUCCAUGGACUACCUGGGUCUACUUUGCAGGACAGGCUGCUGGCACUCAGGCGGUGGCAGGAAAAACUGAAGGCCAUUGUUCCCUCUGCUGACCCAGAACUGCUGGCUGUGGAAACGUAUCGGGGCCCCGCCCCUUGGCCUUGCCGGCCUCCGUUGUUGGGAAGGAUGAGAGGAAGGGGAAGGGGAACGGUAAGUGACCACACUUCCUGGCACCAGGACACCCUGGUCGGCCAGCCACACAACAGCAUCUUGCUGGAAAUAGGCCCCGGGCAGCACUGGUCCCAGGAUCCCCUCCAAUGCCAACAUCCUGUCCUGCUCAAGGCCCCUCUGUAAAAGCUGCGUUUGCCCCCGACUUCCUGUAUGCUUCAAAUCGCCUCAAAUGCGGCGUAGAUAGUUGUUACACUGCCUCACUUAGAAAACAAUGACGAGGAAAAAAAAAAAGUCUGCACAUGUUGGACAUAGCUGCAAUUUUUCUGGAAUAUUCUGGAGCCACAGUUGGUUAAAUCUGCCGAUGUGGAACCCAGAUACAAAGGGCCAACCUGUUUGCAUCUCCAGAGAGAGAUCACUCUUGGUUCUCUCAGAAGUCCGGGCUGCCAGCGUCUGCUCUCCCACGACCUGUGGAGGACUCUGAGGAAGAAGCACGCUUCCCCAGGUGACCCUCGCUCAUUGGAAAAUGGACAUGACCAGGGGACCCAGCGUGCUGCCUUGGACAUGCUGCAGGGCUUGCUUUGCACUGGCUGGUGGCAGAGUAUUUACCUUUGCUUUGCUUUACCCUGCCCAGCGUCCGGCCUGGCCUCCCUGCCCUCAAUUCUCAAAGUAAUUAUUUUCCAAAACAUAAACCAGAUCCGGCUGCUUGGCUCCUUACACCCUGUGAUGGUUUCCCAUGUCAUCUGACCUUAAUCCCAAUCCUCCAGACCCUUGGAGACCUGAGUUUCACCCUGUUUUCUGGUGAGUCCCCGGCUUUCUCUUGUUCCUUCAAUGCCCCCAGCCUCCAGACCUUGCACCUGCUGCUCUCAGGCCGGAACCUGCUCCCUGCCUCCAGAGCUUCCUGCGCUACGGGCCUCCAAUUCAGCUCAGAUGUCACCGUCCGCGAGGCUUUUGUGCAGACCUGUCUGAAGCCAGGCAUCCCCAGGCCCUCCAGCCACCGCCCUCAGAUCUCUGGUCCUCAGCUUCACUACGGCUAACUUGUACCUGCUGGUCUGUGAUCCGAGUCCCUCCCAAAGGGAGGGCGACCGCAUCGGUCUCGCUGUCUGUUAGGUCCCUAGCAUCAA